GACGAACGCUGGCGGCGUGCCUAAUACAUGCAAGUAGAACGCACAGUUUAUACCGUAGCUUGCUACACCAUAGACUGUGAGUUGCGAACGGGUGAGUAACGCGUAGGUAACCUGCCUGGUAGCGGGGGAUAACUAUUGGAAACGAUAGCUAAUACCGCAUAAUAUUAAUUAUUGCAUGAUAAUUGAUUGAAAGAUGCAACUGCAUCACUACCAGAUGGACCUGCGUUGUAUUAGCUAGUAGGUGAGGUAACGGCUCACCUAGGCGACGAUACAUAGCCGACCUGAGAGGGUGAUCGGCCACACUGGGACUGAGACACGGCCCAGACUCCUACGGGAGGCAGCAGUAGGGAAUCUUCGGCAAUGGACGAAAGUCUGAACGAGCAACGCCGCGUGAGUGAAGAAGGUUUUCGGAUCGUAAAGCUCUGUUGUAAGAGAAGAACGGGUGUGAGAGUGGAAAGUUCACACUGUGACGGUAUCUUACCAGAAAGGGACGGCUAACUACGUG
rnacentral:rRNA from 1 species